GGAAGGAUCAUUAACAAAUUACAACGUUUGUUGCAAAACCCAAUCUGUGUAUUCUUACUUGUUGCUUCCCCGGGGGCCUGCCCCCGGGGAAGGUAACCAAAAAACCCUGUUUUAUCUGAAAUCAGUCUGAACUUUGUUUAUUUAUAAUCAAACGUUUAAAACUUUCAACAACGGAUCUCUUGGUUCUCCCAUCGAUGAAGAACGCAGCGAAAUGCGAUAAGUAGUGUGAAUUGCAGAAUUCAGUGAAUCAUCGAAUCUUUGAACGCACAUUGCGCCCCCUGGCAUUCCGGGGGGCAUGCCUGUUCGAGCGUCAUCAAAACCUCUCAGGCUGGGGUUCCGUCUAUUGGAACCGUCAGCUUGGUCUUGGGCCCGAGGAGUCGAAUCCUCCGCCUGCAAUCCAGUGGCAAAUAUCCUGCACAGCAUGAGCGUGAUAAGCAUGUCAGUCGCAAAUGAACGAAGGGAAUAUUUCGCCAGAACCCCCACAUAUCUUUCCAGUUUGACCUCGGAUCAGGUAGGGAUACCCGCUGAACUUAAGCAUAUCAAUAAGCGGAGGAAAAGAAACCAACAGGGAUUGCCUUAGUAACUGCGAGUGAAGCGGCAAAAGCUCAAAUUUGAAAUCUGUGGCCUCAAACCGGGCCACCGAGUUGUAAUUUUGAGAUACGUUUUCGACCGAUAGGCCUGUCUUAAGUUCCUUGGAACAGGACGUCACAGAGGGUGAGAAUCCCGUGAAAGGUAGGCCUUGACGCAUAUGUGACGUAUUCAACGAGUCGAGUUGUUUGGGAAUGCAGCUCAAAAUGGGUGGUAAAUUUCAUCUAAAGCUAAAUAUUGGGGAGAGACCGAUAGCGCACAAGUAGAGUGAUCGAAAGAUGAAAAGCACUUUGAAAAGAGAGUUAAAAAGUACGUGAAAUUGUUGAAAGGGAAGCGCUCGAGACCAGACUCAAUACGGUGCUGAUCAACUGCAGUUCUCUGCUGUGCACUCAGCUCUCAUUGGGACAGCAUCGGUUCUGGCGGAGGGACAAAGCCUCAGGAAAUGUGGCACUCCUAUCAGGGGUGUGUUAUAGUCCUUUGGGUAAUGCCUCCAGCCGGGACCGAGGACCGCGCCUAGGCUAGGAUGCUGUCAUAAUGGUCUUCAGCGACCCGUCUUGAAACACGGACCAAGGAGUCUAACAUCUAUGCGAGUGUUCGGGUGGAAAACCCUUGCGCGUAAUGAAGGUGAACGGAGGUGGGAAUCAUUUGAUGCACCAUCGAC
rnacentral:rRNA from 1 species